CAAGCGUUGUCCGGAAUUAUUGGGCGUAAAGCGCGCGCAGGCGGAUUGGUCAGUCUGUCUUAAAAGUUCGGGGCUUAACCCCGUGAUGGGAUGGAAACUGCCAAUCUAGAGUGUCGGAGAGGAAAGUGGAAUUCCUAGUGUAGCGGUGAAAUGCGUAGAUAUUAGGAAGAACACCAGUGGCGAAGGCGACUUUCUGGACGAAAACUGACGCUGAGGCGCGAAAGCCAGGGGAGCGAACGGGAUUAGAUACCCCGGUAGUCCUGGCCGUAAACGAUGGGUACUAGGUGUAGGAGGUAUCGACCCCUUCUGUGCCGGAGUUAACGCAAUAAGUACCCCGCCUGGGGAGUACGACCGCAAGGUUGAAACUCAAAGGAAUUGACGGGGGCCCGCACAAGCGGUGGAGUAUGUGGUUUAAUUCGACGCAACGCGAAGAACCUUACCAGGUCUUGACAU
rnacentral:rRNA from 1 species